CAACUUUUAACAAUGGAUCUCUUGGCUCUUGCCCCGAUGAAGAACGCAGUCAAGUGCGAAAUGUAAUGCGAUUUGCAUGAAUCUGUGAGUCAUCUAAUCUUUGAACGCAACUUGCGCCAUCCAGAGAUGGAUGGCAUGUCUGUUUGAGUACGACC
rnacentral:rRNA from 1 species